UUGUAGAUAGAUAAAGGAACACACUCACUCACACAAAACACACAAUCUCCUUGUUAUUAUCUCAUCUCUCCCAAAAUUCUCCGAACCCCUCUUGUUUGCUUAAAGCAAAAAUGGCGAUUUCAGCUCUAUCUUCUUCUUCUAUAAACCUCAUAAACCCUGCAAACCCUAACCCUAAUUCCGCCUUUUCUCCGACAAGUUCACGGAAAUUUAUCCUCACCUCCUCUUUUCUCGCCAACCCAUCAACGUUGUCCUCCCAAUUUCAAACACCCACCUCCCCGUUUCGCUCACGCGCCACCAGGCUGACCGUACGCGCAGCGCGUGGGAAAUUCGAAAGGAAGAAACCCCAUAUCAAUAUAGGCACAAUUGGGCACGUUGACCAUGGGAAAACCACUCUGACUGCUGCGUUGACCAUGGCGCUUGCUGCUAUGGGAGGGUCUGCACCCAAGAAGUACGAUGAAAUUGAUGCUGCUCCUGAGGAGAGAGCGCGUGGGAUUACUAUUAAUACAGCUACUGUUGAGUAUGAGACUGAGAGUAGGCAUUAUGCUCAUGUGGAUUGUCCAGGGCAUGCUGAUUAUGUCAAGAAUAUGAUUACAGGGGCUGCGCAGAUGGACGGAGCGAUUUUAGUGGUUUCGGGUGCUGAUGGGCCAAUGCCACAGACUAAAGAACACAUUUUGUUGGCGAAACAAGUGGGGGUUCCGAAUAUGGUUGUUUUCUUGAAUAAAGAGGAUCAGGUUGAUGAUGCCGAGCUUUUGGAGCUUGUGGAGUUGGAGGUUAGGGAGGAAUUGAAUAAGUAUGAGUUUCCAGGGGAUGAUAUUCCAAUUGUGUCAGGAUCAGCAUUGUUGGCAUUGGAAGCACUGAUGGAGAAUCCCGCGAUUAAGAGAGGGGACAAUGAGUGGGUUGACAAGAUUUAUGCUUUGAUGGAUAAUGUUGAUAGUUAUAUUCCUAUUCCACAGAGGCAGACUGAGUUGCCCUUCUUAAUGGCAAUUGAGGAUGUUUUUUCGAUCACGGGACGUGGGACUGUUGCCACUGGUCGUGUUGAGAGAGGGACGAUUAAGGUUGGGGAGACCGUUGAUAUUGUGGGGUUGAAGGAUACUAGGGGUACAACAGUGACUGGAGUUGAAAUGUUUCAGAAGUUUCUUGAUGAGGCUUUGGCUGGUGAUAAUGUCGGGUUGUUGUUAAGAGGUAUUCAGAAGAUUGAUAUCCAGAGAGGGAUGGUUUUGGCUAAGCCUGGAUCGAUUACACCUCAUACAAAGUUUGAGGCGAUUGUAUAUAUUUUGAAGAAGGAUGAAGGUGGGAGGCAUUCACCUUUUUUCACUGGAUACAGGCCUCAGUUUUACAUGAGAACUACAGAUGUCACUGGGAAAGUGACUACUAUUAAGAAUGAGAAGGAUGAAGAGUCGAAAAUGGUUAUGCCUGGUGACCGUGUGAAGAUGGUUGUGGAGCUUAUUGUGCCGAUUGCUUGUGAGCAAGGAAUGAGGUUUGCUAUUAGAGAAGGAGGAAAGACUGUUGGUGCUGGAGUUAUUAAUGCCAUUAUUGAGUGAUUGAACUUGGUGGGCUGGCCUUCACUUUUGGUAUGCUUGUCUGCUUUUCUGGGGCUGCCGCGGACUUUCUUGUAUUAUUUUCGAUGACUUGAGUUGCUCUGUGUGUCUAGGUAUUCGCCUAAUAUAAAGGAGAUAAAGGUGCUGGACAAGAAGAAAGUGAGGAGGGCUAAACUCUACUAUCUUAGGGAUAGACUGAAUCCGCUUAAGAACAAGUUAGAUGUGUGCCUCCAGGAGGUACAGAACUGGAUUCAGUCUUUCGGGUGGCAAGGCAGAUUGCUAUGAAAUGGUUCACCGGCUCACAAUAAUGUCAUUAUCUGCACCAUGAUCUUAUUUAAAUGAAUCAAUACGAGCUUUAUAGAGUUAUAUCAAGUUGUAUCCAAUAUUCUCUGCAGAAGUAUUGAUUACAAAAAAUUUAUUUUUGGGAUU